CACCGCCCGUCACACCAUGGGAGCUGGUAAUGCCCGAAGUCGGUUUUGUUAACUACGGAGACAACUGCCUAAGGCAGGGCCGGUGACUGGGGUGAAGUCGUAACAAGGUAUCCCUACGAGAACGUGGGGAUGGAUUACCUCCUUU
rnacentral:rRNA from 2 species